AAUGUUACCCCCAGUACCGGUUUGGACUUCGUUGUGACGACACUUGUGUAUUUGAAAGUCGUUCUGGUGAAAAUUUAUAAAAACAUAUUGGUUCCUAAAGUGACUUCUUGGGGUGAGGGGGCUGGCAAAAUUGCCAGUCCCCUCAUUAAAACGUGUCGCUGGUGACUAUAGUUCUUUACACAGAUACGUAUUUAAAUAUAUCAUAAGAAAAAGUUGUCCUGACAGGCAAAAUCUAUCGACCCAGUAUGACAAAUAAUUUGUGCGACAAUCAUGUCAGCUUUUAGCAGAAGCAGCAGUUAAUUGAAUAAUGAGAAAGUCAUUCUAUACGAUAUGGAACAACGGCAUUGCUGAAAGUUAGCAUAUGAUGCAGACCCUAUCAACUUUAGAUUUUGCAGAGUUGACAAACAUACUUUGACACCAGGUUAAAAUGCGGAACCGAAAUGAUGGAUCUAAUGAACCAAUAUUACCAGACAAAUGCUAAUUAGACCUGAAUAUUUGGGAUCGUUGAACUUCAAGGUUGGUGUUAAAAAAAGCAUCCUUAUUUCGUCACCAAUAAACGUUUAAAUUUAAGGAAAUUGCAUCAGGAAGAUUUGUUUCUAGGAUAAUUCUUUAAUUUAUACAUAUAAUGCAGUUUUAGUUGUUACAUAAUUGUAAGGUUUUACUUAAUUUUCAUCGGUUAGAGUAGCGGAAAUAAAUUGUGAACAAUACGGGUAUAUUACGAAUUAAUGUCGACCAUGUCCAACUAAAUUUGCUUCAUAGGUAGGAUUAAACACGAGAAACGUGGACAAAUCUGGCAAAAUCUUUUCAGGUAAUCUGUAGGUGCGCACAGUUUGACAUUCAUCAUAAAAUAUUGGGUCGUUUCGUUUAUUAUUACUCCUACACUAUCCAAAUGAAAAUUAGCUGGAUCAAAUAAUUGCGUCCGCGUAUAUUUUUAGAUUUUGAGUAAUUGCUUUUUAUAUUGUAAAUAAAAUAUGUAAGCAAAUAUUGUUAUAAAAAUUAUGGCCAUGCUGCAGUAAAAAGAUAGCCACGGUCAUAAAAAAUACUAAUUUUUUGUCAUCAUCGUCUCACACCAUCUUACAACGUCAUCUCAAACUCGGAUUUCACAAACGUUUAUGAAAUUGGGUAUUUUGGUAUUUCACUAUUUUCAUUGCAUAUUUUGACAAUGUGUAUUGCAUAAUAACAAAAUUUGUAAUUAAUAUAGAUAAGGCAUGACGUUUUAAUAAUUUGUAUAUUUGAUACGGAUUAUCCACAGUUUGGGAUCUAUAAAUCGGCUAUGAGGGAAGAUGACCGUUAUGUUUGCCAUAUUUUUCAUGAGAUUUUAAAAAUUACAUGGUGAAUAUUUCUAUUGUUCAAAUUAAUUUUUUGACAGUUGGCUAGUUUUGUUUAGUUGAGAAAGUGUCGAAAUUACCGAUUUUACAACCUCAAGGGGAAAAUUUAAAUGACAAAGUUUGUGGGAAAAAUAAAAAUAUAAUCUCGUAAGUAAUUUUUUGAAUAAGCUAAAUUUCAAAUGGAUGGCGUAGAGGUAAUAAUAAACGAAACGAGCCAAUUUUUUAUGGAGAAUGGCAAGCUAUCUGCAUUUCAACAUGGUCAGAGGUGAUUUUGCCAGGUGUGUUCAUAUUUCUAGAAAAAAAUAUAUUCGCAUUACUUACCAACUCUCCUGCGUAUUUCAAACAUACAUACUGAUACAAAAAAUUUUCUUCACUAUCCAGUGGCCUAUUUAAAUUAAAUUAUUUCGUUUCUAAUGUUCAUCUGUUGUUCGUCGUUUCCUGUGGAUAAAUACGCGAUGUUGAUAGAGAUGUGAAUAAUAUUUUAAAAGUUCUAACUAAUGCGCUACCUUGAAUUCUUAUUAAUUACAUAUUUCUUGCUCCAUAUCUAAUCCACAGGAUGAUACAAAAGCAAGCGAACAGAUUACAACAUCAUGUUAUUAACAUGAUUUAUAUAUCAUUAGGAAUUGAAUAAAACUUGGAAAGUACUAAUGAUACAUUGUUACCUUAAAGAAGUAAUAAAUGGUUAGGACACUAAUCGUAUUACUAAUCGGAAACCGUACAGCAAACAAUUAUUACUUUAAGUAUUUACUUAAAUGUUCUCAGUUUCAACUCUUUGUCAGGUUGAAUUCAUUUAAGGUCGCUUGACAUAAAAUGCGUGGUCAUAAACUUUAAAAUAAAAAAUAAUGGCGAUAUAUUAUAUUAAAUCAGUUAUAAUUUAAUUGGGUCUCUCAACAUCGAUGAUAUUGAUACUGAGAGAAAUUAUAAUAUUUAUUAAAGUCCAGAGUGGUUGGUAUUACUCUGGUUUUUUGUUGUUUGAUGGCUUUGCUCAUGAAUUCCAUUUCACCAUUUCACAGGGAAAAGUUUUGCAAAUUUAGCAAGCAUACUGUUACGGCGUGGAGGAGGGCCUCCUCCCCCUCCACCCUGAUGGGGGUGCGUCUUAUGCUAAUUAGUACACCAAACACUUCAUGUCCUAUUUUUCUCUCAAGAGUUACUACUUUCUUCCUCCUACCAAAGCUAUCUCUCUUCUUUUUCUAGAUCUCGACCUCCUCUUAUAUAUAUGUUUAUAUACCUAAAUGUAUUAUUUUGGGAUGAGAAUGCAAUCUCCCAGAUCUUGCAUUCUCAUCCCGUAAACCUACUUACGAUGGUAAUCCAUCCAUCUCCACAACACUUCGGCCGUUUUAUCAAUGAUCGUCUCUGAUCAUGUCUAAUACCCAUGUCGGUGGGAGACGAGACGGAUGUCUUUUACAAAAUAUGAGUAUAUGUAUUAAUUAUAUGUUGUGUAUUAUUCGCCACUAUUCAAUUGGAAAGUUGCCAAUUUUUGAAAUAAAUGAAAACCACUGACGUCAUCAUUUUGGAGUUUACUCAGAUUUAAUGAAGUAAUGACUUUCAUGACGUCAUAUAUAUAUAUGUAUAUAUAUAUAUAAGGCGAAUAAUAUAAGACGGAUACAUAUAUAAUAAUUAAUCAGGAGGGAGAUCAUGGCGAAGUUUUGGAGGGUUUCUUUGCUGCCCUUCUUUUCUUCGUUGCUCGACCUGUCUCUUUUUAGGUGGUGGUGUUGUUUGCUCCAAUUUUUGAGUGGGUAGUUUCUCCACCAUUACGAAGCAGGGCUUGACUACUGACAUGAGCGUAUUGUACGCUAAAUGAUAAAAUAAUUAUUUUUCAAAGUGCAUUUAAUUAAUUUUAAACCUUACCUUUGCAAGUUUUCAUAUGGAGAGUUAAAGACGCAUCCGUCGUCGUCGUGUUAUUACAUGCGAGGCACUUUGGCCACUGGUCAUGUGGUGAAUGUUUGUACUUAUGGUUUACUUUUGCUGCAGAAAUGUUAAAUCUUUUACCAGAAAUACUGCAAGUUAAAAAAUACUAAAAUGUAAAUAGCGAAGACACUAAAUGAAACCCAUAUUUUCAUUACUUUUCAAUUGUCAUUUUAUUGCCCCAGGCUUAUGCAUACAUACAAAUCAUCAUUUCAUGGCAUAUCAUAAAUGAAUAAUUCUUAAUAAUUAUGGAUAAUAUAUGACAAUUAUGUAUUACGUCUAAUAAUUAAAUUUAAUAAAAUAAUUUGCAAACGUAAUGUAAGUGUCCCAAUUUUCAACGAACAAGGCAGACUGGGACUGCCUUCAUAGAAUAGUUAAAUAAUACUCUUUUGUAUUAUCCCAGCGACAGAACACAAAUGAGAUCGAUGUGACGUGUCACAUUAACAUUUAUUACAAUUUGGUGUAAAAACUAAUUGAUUUUGGACAAAUAUAGGAGAAAUUAAUCAAGGGGAACAUGGUUGAUUACUUUCUUGUUUAGUUGCCGAGAAUUUCUUUAAUUUCACAAGGCGUUGUUAAGAAGUUCGCAGACGUUUUCAUGGGGUGGUUAUGGAGCUGGAGAAUAUAUUUGACAAAAUAGGCGAUGAUGAAAAAAAAUGUUUUCUUGUCACUCGUUAAACAUAUUUCUGUGUCCCGCCAACUUCCCCAAAUUAUAAACCGUGAAAGUAUGCUAUGACAAAAAGAAAAUAUAUUCUAAUUGCUAUAAAUUGUCGCGGGGGGGAAGAGACUCCUCUCCCUCCACCAAUAAAGUACACUUCAACCCAUUGUCUCUCUUAACUAGUCCUUUAUUAAUUUGACAAUCUUCCCCUCCGGCCGUGAGACAAUCCCACGGCAGUAGGACCCUUCACCUCCUCCACCUUCCUGCUGUAAUAUUCACUACCAAAAUACAUAUGUUUCUUAACUAAUCUAACCUCCCUCUGAUCUCUCUUUUUAUCUCUAUUUAUGCGAGGUCAUCUAUUUCCACAACAGUAUUUUGUGUCUAUUGUGUAUUUUUAUAUAAAUUGUGACAUAAAUGGUAUAUGUGUCGCAAUGCGAUAUAUGCAAUACUAAAUUAUUGUUACAACUGUGGUAACAAGGAACUUAUGAUAAGGAAUUGAUCUUACGAAUGAUAUCCUACUACUCCCAACCCUACUAUAUGAAAAAGUAAUGCAAAAUGCACGCGGAACAUAUCCAUCCAUUCCACUAAACUACCACAAAACCAAAGGGUCCAUCGUGACCACUUCCGUUGCGUACCGCGUCCCUUGGCUGCUUAUUUUUCUCAAAAAAUUACAUCCGAACUGCUGACACUUCCAAUCAUUUCACAAAUAGUUAUCAACGUUACUGGGAAAGUUGUGACAUCCCCUCUCGGUAUCACUUUGGAAAUUUUAAUUUCUACGAAUCACUAAAGGUUCAUCCUUAGAGGCCUUGAAAGGUAGUCCAAGGACCGGUAGAAUCUUCAUAUUAUUAUUAAUUCAAUCAUAAAAUUCUGUGCAAGAUGAACCUGACAGAGACGCCACUCUUGUCCUGAAGUCCGUUUUCACAGGUUACCUUGAGGAGAAAAGGAGAAGGCGAAGAGCCCCUUAUGAGGAACCCCCUCCCAAGGUCCUUACUCAUCCCCUAAGUACAGACCUUUCCACCUAGCAAUGCCAUGCUUACGGAAGACAAUUCUUCCAAAACUUUCCCCGGCCACUCCCCCAAUGAGAACAAUUCGAGUGGGCAGAGUGCCUUAAUGUAUAAGGCCUCCCUCUGACUUAGAGCAGGGCAACCCCAAAAAGUAACAAACUACCAACUCAAAAUUUGGCACUUAAUGUACCUCUCAUACUGAAAAUGACGAAAUCAUUUUCGAAAAAUGAGAAGAAAAUCGUCUCCCUAUAUUACCAAAUAUGCCGUUGCCGAAAUUAUUACAGCAAUUGUUUAACCAAUAAAGAGAUUAAACCUUAUGACAACCGAACAUAAAGUCAGAAAGCAGAAUAAACAUUAUGUAUCAGAAGAAGUAAAGAAAAAUGACAACAAAUCAUUGUUCGUACGGAGAAUUGAACUACUUGGAGACGCGAAAUUAGAAAUGAAGAAGAAGAAUGCCACCCAUCACGCGACAUAUUUAUUACCCUCUGCACUUUCCAUCAACAUGAAAAAGAGUCAACUAAGAACCUGAUAAAUGAGAAAACUAAAACUACCCAAACCAUCUCCUGUAAAAUGAGAGAAAUAGUAAGACACCACCAAAGUUCCUACUACAUGAGAGAAAUAUCAACACAAAACCCGGAGAAAGACGAAAGCGACGUCCUAGGCCUCAUGAAACCCAGACUUGUAAAAGUGGAUGAAGAAAAUUCCCAAAAACAUCUAUGCUAUGAAUACUCCAAACCUACCUAAAUCAGUAAAGUUACAUUUAACCCUUACGUAUCUAUGAACUUAAUGACUAAAAAUUACAGAAGCCACGAAGAGAAAAUUCAACUCCAACCCAAAAGGUUGAUGCCUAGAUUAGAUUUGCUCCACAUACAUAUGUGUCUACAUACACAUAUAUGGAUGUAUUUGUUGAAGAAAAAGGAAAGGACGCCAACUUUUCAUGCAGAGAUGUGGAUAUGUAACCCAGGGUGCCAACGACUACCGAAAUGAUUAUUUUAAUGCUGCACUUUUUUCAAAGUGAAGUGGGUUACCGAUUAUUUUUGCAUAAAUGCCAAUUCUAUUCUUUUGAGAAUCCUGGGGCGUACUUUUAAGUACCUAAAUGUAUAAGUGAGAUGUGUGACCAAUUUUAAAAAUAAACUAUGAAUUUUCGGGAACCAAAACACAUGCAAAAUUUGUUUUUCUCUUUUUUUCCAAUUAUAUUUUGAGGUUAGUGAUUUAUGAAUAUAAAAAGAUAGAUGAGAGAUAUGCAGAUUGUUAGUCAGACAAAAAUUAGCAAAUAAAUUGUAAAUUUACUAGAAAAUUACGGAACCCUAUACAUGUAAAGAAUCAUGAUGCCCAAAAAAUUUGCUGAAUGAUUUUGUGAAAAAUUAUAAUUUAAGGUAAGCAAGUGUAGAUUUUGCCUCUGAAUUGAAGAGAAAAUGUGCCACUUGCGGAUCGAUGAGAAGAAUUAAAUCCGAAAAAGUUAAAAUUUCUUUUGCUGACAUGAUUAUAAUAGAUUUUUGUAAUAACUGCCGAAUAACUAGUUGUACAGCGAAUUCUUCCAAUUUAGGAGAUGGACUUUUAAUGUGUAAAAAAUGCUGAUAUUGGGCAUAUACAAAAUGUGUCAAAGAAAAAUUAUGAUGAUAAAACUUAGGCAAAUUAUGCUCCAAAACACCUAAAGGAUCACGUAAAAGCCUACCCAUUUUGUCUUAUUGAGCUAUUGACAAGAACACAAAAUGCAAAAGAAUUGGCGAAAAAAAUGAACUUAUCUGUAUUCAUGAACUCCCGUAAUCCUGUUUUCGAAAAAAAAUCUUGAACAAGUCACUCACUUCUAAUUAUACCAUGUCACAUCCAGACUAAAGUGAGAAGUAAAGGCAUCUUUGUGUCUGAUCCAGAGACGCCAGUUCUCGAAAUCGGGGCACCAUUUUAGAAAGUUAAAUAUCUCUUUCCUACGUGGUAACGUCUUUAUGUAACGGAUGUGAGGAGUGGGAGGAGUCCGGCCCACCUUCUACACUCCGGAGAUGCUUAUUAUGCCAACAAGUCCACUGAUCGUUUUAGCUAGUCCAACUAAACCCUUUAUUUCAGUAUUUCUUAACCUACCCCUCUUGUGAGGGCACCCCUCACAGGAGGCCCUCCUCCUCUUCUUUACUAACUCUCUAUUCCUGACUUAACUAACUUUCUUCCUCUUCUCAAAAUCUCUCCUCAACUCCACUCUUUCUCAGAAUUUCUCGAUCUCGCCCUUCUCCUCUUAAAUACUACUUAACCAACAUUACCUAAGUAUAUUAUUUUGGGAAUGAGACUACAAUCUCCCAAAUUGCAGUCUUAUUCCCUAAAUAGCCAUCCUUCUCCUCUCGAGAAGGAUGCCUACUUAUCAUCAUUCAUCCAUUUCCCUAACACUCAUUUCCAUCUCCAAUUAACUAAAUUUUAAUGCGAUACUUGAUAAAAGUUCUGUUAACAAAAAUUUAAGAAAUAUACUGUUACAUAUUUAUAAUAAGUUCUCUGGAAAUAUAUAUUUAGACUAGGGCAAAAUAAUGGUAUUUAUUUGCUACCCAUUAAAUAUAGAAUUUAAAUAUAGAACCGGUCAUUCGGUAAACGAUGCAUUCGGCAAGAUGACAACUGAAUAUAAGUUUAAGCAAAAUAUGAAGUUAGCGUCUUAAUAUUGUUCACAAUUUAAUUCCUUACCAAAACCGAACUUUUUAGUCUGACUUUCUUUAUAUACGUAUGUAAAUGUAUGUAAUGCAUAAUCAUUUAAGUACUGAACCAUAUCUUAAUUAUUUAAUGAAUAAGGGUGUUAUGUUAUAUUUAGUAGACUGUUUUUGUCAGCUUGGUGAAGUAAGCAUGCAGGUAUUUCAUGCUUGCAUAGGUACCUUCAUAGUGAUAUCAUUAAUUUAAAACAUUUUGAGUAUGUUAACUAUAUUUAUAGACAAAUUCUUUCUGAUUAAUUACAUAGGUAUGUAAUUUGUUCCCUUCACGCUGUCAAUAAUUUCAUGUAUUUAUUACGUUAAUUUACAAUUCACCCUAGAUUUAAGUAAUGCAUAGAAUUUACAUUACAUUACAUAUGUACGUACAAUUUAAGCACCAAUAAUUACAAAAAAAGUACAUAUACCUAAUGCCUGGAUUGUUUAAUACAUAAAGAUGAAUAUAUAAGCAAGCAUUGCAAAAAAAAGUCAAACCAUCUUCCAAAUUAAGUUUCACAAAAUUCAGAUUCUUAAAAAUUUCAACUUUCUCCUAGCUCUAUUUUAACUUCUUCCAACUAACACCUUUUCAUUAAAAGUUUUCAUACUGAACCCAUUGUACAUAUAUUAAAUUUUCCUUGCUACACAAUUCUGGAUUAUUUUCACCCCACGUUUUGUAGAUUGUGAUUACAGACCAGCCCCAAUGUAAACGUAAAACAUCAAUCCCAUCUUUAAUAUUCUAGUUCAUAAACUUUUUCCUGUGGUCCGA